CAAUAGCGUAUAUUAAAGUUGUUGCAGUUAAAAAGCUCGUAGUUGGAUUUCUGGUGGGAGCGAUCGGUCUGGCGCUUAGCGCGAGUACUUGCAUCGUCUCCGGCCAUCCUUGUGGAGAGUCUGUCUGGCAUUAAGUUGUCGGGCAGAGGAUCCUCAUCGUUUACUGUGAAAAAAUUAGAGUGUUCAAAGCAGGCUUAUGCCGUUGAAUAUAUUAGCAUGGAAUAAUAAGAUAGGACUUUGGUACUAUUUUGUUGGUUUGCGCACCAAAGUAAUGAUUAAUAGGGACAGUUGGGGGUAUUCGUAUUCCGUUGUCAGAGGUGAAAUUCUUGGAUUUACGGAAGACGAACUACUGCGAAAGCAUUUACCAAGGAUGUUUUCAUUAA
rnacentral:rRNA from 1 species